rnacentral:rRNA from 1 species
CACGUAGGGGGCAAGCGUUGUUCGGAAUUACUGGGCGUAAAGGGCAUGUAGGCGGUUUUGUAAGCCUGGCGUGAAAUUCUGCAGCUUAACUGUAGGACUGCGCUGGGAACUGCGAGACUGGAGUCACGGAGAGGGAGCCAGAAUUCCAGGUGUAGGGGUGAAAUCUGUAGAUAUCUGGAAGAAUACCAAUGGCGAAGGCAGGCUUCUGGCCGAUGACUGACGCUGAGGUGCGAAAGCGUGGGUAGCAAACAGGAUUAGAUACCCUGGUAGUCCACGCGGUAAACGAUGCACACUAGGUGCCGGGGCGGACGCUUCGGUGCCGGAGCCAACGUGGUAAGUGUGCCGCCUGGGGAGUAUGCUCGCAAGGGUGAA